CAAGUUAGAGCUUGGGGAAAGUAUUUUAUUUACAUUAAAAAGGUUGUCAUUUAAGAUGGCAUAGCUUGA
rnacentral:tRNA from 1 species